rnacentral:rRNA from 1 species
CUUUCUUUGCUGGCGACCGGCGCACGGGUGAGUAACACGUAUCCAACCUGCCCAUUACUCGGGGAUAGCCUUUCGAAAGAAAGAUUAAUACCCGAUAGUAUAAUGAUUCCGCAUGGUUUCAUUAUUAAAGGAUUCCGGUAAAGGAUGGGGAUGCGUUCCAUUAGGUUGUUGGUGAGGUAACGGCUCACCAAGCCUUCGAUGGAUAGGGGUUCUGAGAGGAAGGUCCCCCACAUUGGAACUGAGACACGGUCCAA